rnacentral:hammerhead_ribozyme from 1 species
AUCCAGAUGACGGGUCCCAGAUAAGGCGAAAUGCGCAUCCUGAAU